CACUCGGGUGAGGGAUCACGGAGGAUUGCGCGAGGGAAGCGGAAUGGAUUUUCUCGACGGGACCAAAAAAAGGGGGAAAUUCGAAACUUUUACUCUUACUGUUUUUGUAUAUUGGCAUUGCAUUUAUUUUUAAGCUUUCUCGCAUUUAGCAUUAGCAUUACUUUUACGUCCCGGGACAUGCAUGCUUAGAUUUUCAUAAAAAAUUUCGUACGGAUUAUUAAUCGUAUACUGACUAUCUUGUUUUUUUUUUUAUUUUGUGUAGGUAAGCAAUUGUGGAUAUUUCGGGGCGGACGAGGUUGCAUUCGACCCAUAUUACGAACAAACGGCGAUGCAUUCGAGAAUCGCGGAGAAUUGCGCGAGGGAAAUAUAAUGGAUUUUCUCGACCGCACCAAAAAAUGGAAAAUUCCGAAACUUUUACUUUUGGUAAGCGAUCGCGGGGGCCGAUGCAUUUGAUCCAUAUUAAGAACAAACGGCGAUGCAUUCCGGAGCACGGAGGACUGCACUAGAAAAACAGAAUGGAUUAAUAAAUAUUAUCAUUUAUUUAUUUAUUUA